UGUAAGACAAGCAACCCUAGAGAAAGAAGCGGCUGUCACAAAGGCCAGACCCAAAUGCCAUGUUAAGAGAUGGAUGAAGACUAGGAACUGUAGAGAAGGGUAGAACCAGUGUUAACUUCAGCUGAUGUACAUGCUUCUGCCAAAUAAAACUGCACAGCAGUAAAACAGGCAGAGAAGAAAGAAUCAACAGCAAAGGUAGAACUGGAACCAUGGAAAUCUCCAGGAGAGAGAUGAGGAAACUGAGGUGAAGGAGAAUAUGUAAUUUGCUCAUGGUCCACAGCCUACAUUCUUCAGUAUGUGCAGGGAAGACCUGGUGGGAUCUUCACUAUGGGGCCAAAGCAGAUACUUCUGCCUCUGAAUGUUUUCAGAAGAGUAACUUCUGCUCCUCUCUCUCCCAACCUUGUGGAGGAGUGACCUGAUGGCUAAAUUGAGAAUAGAACUGCAAUUCAUGGUUCUCUCUCUGUAAGUAACUGUCUGCCCACAAAGCAGCUGUGUUCCACCCGGCUUCAGCUUCCAUGGGCUGAGCACACUGGGUCAGGCCCGAGGCCCACCUUGCAGGCUGAGUCUGGAGGAAAAUCUCUGUCCUUGAGGAGUGUGAGGAAGUGAUUCUGAGUAAACAGAGGUAUUCUCUAAAUUCAAACUGUUCCUUAAUACACGCCAACAUGAGGUCUUGGAGUAAAGCCACUCAUCCAUCCUGCAGUCUCUAAUGUUAUCAGCCACAUCGUUGAUCUUCUAUCUCUCUUUAUUUGAUUUCAGCACUGGGGAGAUUAUUUAUAAUUUAGGGAAGAGGAAGAAAAAGCAAUAUCAUUUAUAAGCCACCAACUUGAACAUACACAAAAUAAUUCAACAGUCAUUGCUACAAAGCAAACACACUGUUAAGGACCAGUGACACACAAAAGAGUAGAGCAGCAUUCCUGCCCUAAAGAGCCAUCAGCUACAGCUGUGACAGGCCCAGGAAUCGCAGUGAAGUGGAAGCUACCCUACGGGAUGCUGGGAGCACAGUGUGGGAGCAGGUCCACAGAGGUAGGGCAUCAGUGAGAGCAAGGAGGACGCAGGCAUCCCACGCAGAGAAGAGCCAUGUCCCAGAGCCAGGAGAAGGCGGCAAGGAGCAGUGAGGGGCUUGGUGCUGUCCAGGGACUAGUAGAGGAGAGAGAGGCCAGCCUGGGUGAGGAAGAAGCCCUUGUGCUCAUCCAAGAAACUGGAGAUGCAUUUUAAAAGCAAAGGAGUGACACUAAGGUAUACAAACAGAGACAAGUUUUAAAAGAUCUUUUUAGCAGAGAUAUGGAGGAUGAAUGUAUAGAGACAUAAGACAAGGGUCUGGAAGCACACUUGGGAGCCUGUCGACAACAAUACAAGCAAGAUGCAGGAAAGCUCUAGCAAAAUGGGGAGGGCACACAUUCAAGAGAUGCUCUGGGGGUUGGAUUAAUGUGCUGCUUUUUCCAAGAAAGAAUUUUUAUGUAAAUAGGCACGGGGUAGAGCAAGAUUUUUUUAAAAUUAGAAGUAGAAGGCAAAGAGAAAACAAGGGUAGGGACAUAAAUGGAGCCAGGAGUGAGAUUAGCACAUUAUGUUGUUUGUGUGUUUAUGUAUGUAGGUAUGUGUGUGUGCAUGUGUAUGCAUGCAUGUGUGUGUGUCUGUAUGUGUAUUUGUGUGUGUGUAUGCAUCUGUGUAUGUGUGCAUAAUGACAAGGAAGGGAUCACAGAUUUGGCUCUCAGCUCUCUAGCAGUCAACACCAACAGGGAAGAAUCCUUCACACACAUCACAAUGUUUAGAAGAUAAAAGUAAACCAGUUGUUCAGAAGAACAACUAUUGCUGAAUCUAAAGCCAAAACAAAUUUAUCUUGAGAGACCUCGCAGAGAGGAUAUGUAUAAAGUAAUGAUAUCCUCAGCAACAGUCUUAAUGCGAACAAAAUUAUUUCAAAGGAUGUUUCUCCCAAUCAUCUUUACUAUCCAACCAAACGGUAAACUGAAGAGAGUCAGCAUGGAGCAAUUGUGGCAGAAUUGGAAAUUAAAUACCACACGUUCAGAUGCUCUUGAUCUCAUCUUCUUCACAAGUUCUCUCCCAUCUAAGCAGUGGGGAUGGGGAAAACAUACAAACUGUCAAUUAAUGACAUAUUUUUUUAAAUAACAGUUUUAUUGAGAUAUAAUUUACCUAUCAUACAACUGACCUAUUGAAGAAGGCAUACAACUCAAUGGUUUUUCAUAUAUUCAGAGUUGUGCAAUCAUCACCACAAUCAAUCUGAGAACAUUUUUAUCCCUGAAACAAGAAACCCAUACCCAUAGCUGUCACUGCCUCCACCUUCCCCUCCCCCAUACCAAGGCAACCAAUUGUCUACUUCCUGUCUCUAUAAAUUGCCUAUUCUGGACAUUUCAUAUAAAUGGACUCACACAAUAUGUUUUCUGUAUGUGUGACUGGCUUCUUUGACUUCCUGCUUUCAAAGUUUUUCAGGCUGUAGUAUGUAUCAAUUCUUUAUUCCUAUUAUUGCUAAAUAAUACUCUGUUGUGACAAAGGGCAUUUUGGUCUCCUCUGGUUCCAACAGGCUCCCUGGGGUAACUGGGUCUUUCAGGCCAGGGUGCAGCUCUCCAGGUUUCCUCUUCGAGGCUUUGCACCUCCCAAGAAGGUGUUUAGGGAUGUGGGAGUGGGGGUGGUAUGGGACACCUCGCGGCCUCACAGUGCUUUUGGGUCAGUGCUGGCAGGUCUGAUUCCGAGCUCCGGACUCUCUGGUCCCAAGGCACCCAGCUGCCUUUCAUGGCAACCGUCUGCACUGCCCAUCACCCAUUCCGCUCAGAGAGCUCUCCAUUUGAACAGCCUGCCUUAACCCCUGUGGCCACGGCUGAUCCCUCGCUCCUGGCCCCUCUGAGCUCACUCACAUGGUCCAUUUUUGCACCCUGCUAACCCUGUGCCCCAUGGCGUGCAGGGGGUCCCAGAUCACCCCAUGUCCCGCAGGAGUGAGGACCGCUCAGGAGCAAUGCCGCCGUGCCGUCCCCUGCUAGCUCACAGCCAUCCAUGCAGCCGACCCCUGGGCUCUGAUGAGGCCUGCGCAGCCCCCACCCUCUGUGCUUUGCACGCCUCCCUGGGAGGCACUAGCAUCACUGUCCUCUGGGCUUCAGCCCCGUGGGAAGAAGGCAGGACUCGUGGGUCACAGGCCUCCUUUCUAUUUCAUUCCUCACUGGACCACAGAGUUGGGCCUUCUCUCCUCUCUUGGGGUUUGAGGACUUCCAUUAGGAUAUGGAUCCUGAAAUCUCUCUAGACUUGACUUACAGUAAAUUAAAUAUGCUUCUAUAGACCAAACUUUUUCCAUUCAUUCGUUGGCAGAGAUUUAGGUUGUCUCCAUGUCUUGACUAUUGCAAAUAAGGCAACGAACAUGGGACUGACGCUAUCUCUCAAGAUCCUCAUUUUCUCUGCAUGUACACCCAGUGGUGGGCUCUUACUCAGCGUUAAAAAGAAGGAGAUCCUGCCAUUGGCAACAACAUGGAAGAACCUGGAGGACAUUGUGCUAAGUGAAACAAGCCAGGCACAGAAAGACAAGCCCCACAUGACUUCAUGUACAUGUGAAAUCUUAAAAAGCCAAACUUAUAGAAACAGAGAAUAGAACGGUGGUUGCCAGGGCUGGAAGGAGGGGAAAUGGGGAGAUGUUGGUCAAGGAGUACAAAGUUUCAGUUACUGAAGAUGAAGAAGUUCUGGAGACUCAGUGCACAGCAUGGUGACUAUAGUUAAUAAUACUGUAUUAUAUACUUGGGAUUUACCAAGAGGGUACAUCUUACCUGCUCUCAUCAUAACAAACAAAAAAGAAAAGAAAAAAGACAAAAAUGGUAACUGUGAGCUAAGGAAUGUGUUAGUUUGAUUGUUGUGAUCAUUUCAGUGUGUGUGUGUGUGUGUGUGCGUGUGUAUAGAAAUGAAGUUGUAUACCUUAAAGAUACACAAUUUUAUUUGUCAAUUAUACCUCAAUAAAGCUAAAAAUUUCAAUAUUUAGCCCCAGCAACCCUGGCUUUUGAUAUGUUAUUGGUAUUUUAACAAAUUUAAGGAAAAAUUUCUUUGGAGACUAAUCUUUUUAGGAACUCAACAAUCCUAUUUUGGUAGUUAAAUUGUGA
rnacentral:lncRNA from 1 species